UUCCUACCUGGUGCACAGCUUCCAUUCACUUUAACCUAUAAUGAAAUUAUCUUUUAAAACACUAAGUAGGUUUUUCUGGAUUAACAAUAUAAAAUAUUUUAAACGCUUCGAUGUGGCAUGUCGGAUCCGGCCAUAACGUCUGGGCCGGGUUUGGGGUGUUACAUUUAGUGGUAUCAGAGCCUAGGUUGCAAUAACUCAGCUGUGGAAUGGGUUUACAAAAACAAAGAUUUUCAAAAAAAAAUAUAAAGAUUGCAAAAAACGCGAUUUUCAAAUUUUAGAUCUUUAGAAGGUGGCAUUCCGAAUCUCCGGCUCAAGUCUGUAAGUAUUCUGAAUAUUUCUGAAUAUUUUCCUGAAUUAUCUGUCUGUACUAAAAUCCUGCUAGGAUAUUCUAGAUAGGAUGAUACUGAAACCAUAGGAAAAUUUGAUAAGAGACUGACUCUGUAGCUAGACUCUGAUUCUGCAAAAACAAACUCUGAAUUAUUGUCUGAUUUAUAAAACAUCCGUAAUAAACACUGGAAUAUUGAAUUAAUGCAUAAAAUUCGUAAUCAGAUAAUACAAUAUGAGUACAAGAGCCGCUCGUGGAAGAGGCCAUGGACGAGGCCGAGGUAGUACUCAUGUUGGAUCUUCGCCUUCUGAACACAUACCCGCUGGAGUAGCACGACCACCAUCGGUCGAUGAGAAUGGGCCGUAUGAUCGGGCAGCGGAGGAUGAUGCCCUAUCACAGGCAAUACUUCGUGUUCUGGAAAGGGUUGCCGGGGCAAGUACGGGCAAUGGAAUUCGGGGAUCUAUUUCUGAACGACUUCGGUCUAGCGGAGCGGAGAUCUUUAGGGGCGUGUCUGGUAUCACCUCGAAUGUGGCAAAAUAUUGAUUGGAGGCCACAAAACGGAUUAUGGACAACUUGGACUGCUCUGAGGAGAUUGUGAGUGGGGUAUCUGUACUAAGUACUUUGGGUCACUCGGUUAGGGUAGACAAACUGUAUAGGGAUGUACCCUUAGAAACUCAAGGUAGGAUUUUCCCUGGAGAUCUGAUGGAGUUACCGUUCGGAGAGUUUGAUCUCAUUUUGGGAAUGGACUGGUUUGUUAAGCAUAAGGUGAACCUGGAUUGUGCUGCUAAACGAAUGGUGUUAAGGAUCACAAAGGAUGGGGAGGUUAUGGUGAUAGGUGAGCUAAAAGAUUAUUUGUCCAAUGUGGUGUCGGCAUUACGAGCCGAGAAGUGGAUUCGGAAAGGUUGUGAGGCCUAUUUGGCAUUUGUUAGUCAGUCGGAAGAGGAGGGACUGACAGUGGAUAAGGUUAGGACUGUAAAGGAGUUCCAAGAUGUUUUUUCGGAGGAGCUUCCAGGAUUGCCUCCGAACCAAGAAGAGGGGUUUGGAAUCGACUUAUUUCCUGGAACAGCACCAGUGUCUAUCGCACCGUAUAGAAUGGCACCGAAGGAGUUGGUGGAGCUAAAGGCACAAAUUCAGGAGUUGUUGGAUAGGGGCUUCAUUAGGCCAAGCGUGUCUCCAUGGGGAGCACCGGUGCUAUUUGUGAAAAAGAAGGAUGGUACGAUGCGGAUGUGCAUUGAUUAUCGCCAGUUGAUAAACUGACGAUUAAGAAUAAGUAUCCACUGCCAAGGAUUGAUGAUCUGUUCGACUAGCUUAGAGGAGCUUCUGUAUUUUCCAAGAUCGACCUUCGAUCUGGAUAUCAUCAGUUAAGGGUCAAGGAGGCAGAUAUCCAUAAGACAGCAUUCAGGACUCGGUAUGGUCAUUACGAGUUUCUGGUUAUGCCAUUUGGAUUGACCAACGCUCCUGCAACGUUUAUGGAUCUAAGGAAUCAUGUGUUCCAACCAUUUUUAGAUCAGUUCGUAGUCGUCUUUAUUGAUGAUAUCCUGGUAUAUUCUGAAACUGAAGCGAAACAUGUUGAGCAUCUCUGUAUAGUGCUGCGAGUGUUAAAAGAGAAGGAACUCUGUGCAAAGUUUAGCAAGUGUGAAUUUUGGUUGAGGGAGGUAACCUUCUUAGGACAUGUGGUCUCUGCCGAAGGGAUUAAGAUGGACCCUCGAAAGAUUGAAGCAAUUUUGGAGUGGAAGCCACCUAGGACGAUGUCGAAAAUUUGAAGCUUCCUAGGGUUGGCAGGAUACUACAGAAGGUUUGUGGAAGGUUUUUCAGUGAUGACAGCACCUCUAACAAAACUCAUAAGGAAAGGGGUACCGUUUGUAUGGACUGAGAAGCAGCAGGAAGCUUUUGAGAAGUUGAAGAAAGUUCUGACUUAAGCACCUGUGUUGAUUCAGCCGGAGUCUGGGAAGGAUUUUAUUGUGUACAGUGACGCAUCACACGUGCGUUUGGGCUACGUGUUAAUGCAGGAGGGUAAGGUGGUUGCAUAUGCGUCACGAUAGCUUAAACCUCACAAGGGGAACUACCCUACUCAUGAUUGGGAGUUGGCGACAGUGAUAUUUGCACUUAAGAUUUGGAGACAUUACUUGUACGGGGAGAGGUGUAUUAUAUACAAAGACCACAAGAGUCUUAAGUAUUUGUUGACUCAGAAGGAGCUGAACCUUAGGCAAAGGAGAUGGAUUGAGUUACUUAAGGAUUAUGACUGUUCGAUCGAGUAUCACCCAGGCAAGGCUAAUGUGGUAGCCGAUGCUUUAAGUCGUAGAAUCGUAUCUGAUCUGAGAGCAAUGUUUGCUCGUUUGAGUCUGUAUGAUGAUGGCAGUUUGUUGGCUGAAUUGCAAGUAAGGCCAACCUGGGUGGACCAGAUUAAAGAAAAGCAGUUAGAAGAUGAGUUUUGGUUGCUCAUUUUCAACAAGUUAAGGAAGGGAAAACUUCUGAGUUCGGUUUAAAUGGUGAUGGAGUUCUGUGUUUCCGAGGAAUAAUUUGUGUUCCGAGGGACUCUGAUUUGACGCAGACAAUAUUGAAGGAAGCUCAUGGGGGACUAUGUGCCAUGCAUCCUGGAGGGAAUAAGUUGUAUCACGACUUACAAGAAUUGUACUGGUGGCCUGGACUUAAACGAGAAGUAACGGAGUUUGUAGGGAAAUGUCUGACAUGCCAGAAAGUGAAAGCUGAGCAUCAAUUACCCUCUGGACUGUUACAGUCAGUGAAGAUAUCACUUUGGAGGUGGGAGAGGGUAACCAUGGACUUUGUGAGUGGGCUGCCCUUGACACCAUCAAAGAAAGACUCCGUGUGGGUGAUUGUGGGUAGGUUGACCAAAUCGGCCCAUUUCAUACCUGUUCUACUGACUUUUCACUUCAAAAGUUAGCCAAGUUGUAUGUGGCGGAGAUUGUGCGACUUCAUGGAGUCCCAGUUUAAUUAUUUCUGAUCGGGAUACUAAAUUUACAUCUCGGUUUUGGCAAAGGUUGCAUGAGGCGUUGGGGACGCGGUUGAAUUUUAGUACGGCUUUCCAUCCCCAGACUGAUGGUCAAUCAGAAAGGGUUAUUCAGAUUCUGGAGGACAUGUUGAGGGGAUGCGUGAUUGACUUUCGAGGUAGUUGGGAGGAUUACUUGCUGUUGGCAGAAUUUGCAUACAAUAACAGUUACCAGGUGAGUAUUCGAAUGGCACCGUAUGAAGCAUUGUAUGGACGAAGGUGUCGUACACCUAGUUGUUGGACCGAACUAGGAGAGCGACAAGUUCUUGGACCAGUGUUGGUAGCUGAUACUGAGGAUAAGGCAGAAUAAUUAAUGACCGGUUAAAAGAAGCAUCUGAUAGGCAAAAGUCGUAUGCAGAUUUGAAGUGUAAGGAGAUUGAGUACCCAGUAGGUGAUAUGGUCUUCUUAAAGGUUUCUCCUUGGAAAAAGAUAUUAAGGUUCGGUAAGAAGGGCAAGUUGAGUCCGAGGUUCAUUGGGCCUUAUCGCUUUUUGAAGCGAGUAGGCCCAAUGGCUUAUCAGUUGGAAUUGCCUCCAGAGUUAGACAGGAUUCACGAUGUUUUUCACGCCUCCAUGUUAAGGCUUUAUCGUUCUGACCCUGCUCAUGUCCUGCAAGUUGCAGAAAUUGAAGUUCGGACUGAUUUGACCUUUGAGGAGGAGCCUGUGCAAAUAUUGGCUCAAGAUGUUAAAGUUCUCAGAAGGAAAUCUGUCCCGUUAGUGAAAGUGCUUUGGCGUAAUCAUGGAAGGGAAGAAGCUACUUGGGAAUUAGAAGAGACUAUGCGUCAACAAUACCCUCAACUAGUUGGAUCAGGUAAAUUUCGAGGACGAAAUUUCUUUAAGAAGGGUAGAGUUGUAACGCCCCAAUUUUCGGGAAUUCUGUGAAUGUUGGCAUAGGUUUAAUUAUGUUAGUGGGCCUCUAAAAGGCCCAAGCUUAAGAUAGAACUCGACAAUUUUAGUUAAUUUUUGUUCCAUAAUAAAAAUGGGGUGAAAUUAUGAAAUAGAACCUAGGUGAAAAUGUUUGAAAAUGCUAUAGGCUAAAUUGGAGUGGUCAAAUAAAUAGGAGUGCAAAAUAGGAGGAUUUGCAUGACAAACCUCCCAUUUUAUAUGAAGUGGCCAGCCACCAUGUUGUUGUAGACAAAAUGUGCACUUGAUAUCCUUAAUUUAUGGUACAAAUUGAUACAAAUUGAUAAUAGGUUAGGUAAAUGUUCCAUGAUAAUGGGUUAGGUAAAUGUUUCAUGAUAAUGGGUUAGGUAAAUGUUCCAUGAUAAUGGGUUAGGUAAAUGUUCCAUGAUGGGAAUUUCAUGUCUUUUGUAUUAAAGAAUUAAAUGGAUGAAAUAUGAAAUUUUAUUUAAAAAAAAAGGGUGAAAAGAACAAAGUUUUGUCCAUCUUUGUUCAUCAUAGCGUAAAGUUAGAGAAGAGAAAGGAGAGGAGAAAGCUCUUGAAUGUUCGGUCACUUGGGGAAGAAAAUUGAAGGUAAGUUCAUGGUAGUUUGCUUCUAUCUUGAGGUUCAUGAGUUCUUCUUGAUUCUACCUUAACUCUUGAAGCAUAUUUUGGUUUUAGUUGUGUUGUGAGCAUUUAGUCAUGAAUUAAAAUGAAGGAAAUGGUUGUUGUUUCAUGUUCUUUUGAUGAAAAAUGGAAGAUAGGUGAAGUUGAGCCAAACAAAUGAGCAUGCAUGUGCCUUAGAUGCUAAAGGGAAAAAUAGGCUAACAUGUUGUGCUUUAAAAUGAUGAAAUGGAGAUUAUACUUAAGUAAAAUCUUAUAUAUGUGAUGACUGAUUGGUGAUAUACAUGUUUAAAUAACAUGCAUGCAAGGUAUGUGUGAAAGAGUGAUUUGGUAAUAAAUAUGCUUGGGACAGCAGCAGUAACGUGACUUUGGAAAAUCACCAUAAAUUUUCAGAGAUGAAUUAGAAGCUGAAUAAAUUAUGUAAUUAAAGCUUAAUGAGUCUAGUUUCAAAUGAAAUAAACGAGAACAUAUUUUGAAUUAUGUACAAUGAGAAAUUUGAUUUGUAAUGAAGAGUGGUCAGAUUAGUCAAACAGUGAAACAUGCGAAACUUUGAGAAAAAUCUGGUAUUGAUUGGAUAAACCAAAAAUUCUGAAAAUUUUAUGGAUAGUAUAUAUAUGAGUCUAUUUUCAGGUAAAAUUAACGGCACUUGAUUUGGAGUUUCGUAGCUCUAGUUAUAAAUGAUUUAGUGACUGUUGCUCAGGAAGAAAGCUUGCAGUGAAAUUAUGAUUAUGUGGUAAACACUGACAAAAAUUUGUUAAUGAGUUGCUUAUUGAUUUCUUAUAAGCUUACUCUGAUCUGUAGGUGUGGUUGGCCGAAUAUUGUAAGGGGUUAAUACGUAUUUCUUAUUUGAAUAGUUAGAUUAAUGUGUUAGUAAUCCAAUUGUAGGCAGUUCGUGUGUGGAUCUCGUCAGCAUAUCGUCGCAAACAGAUGUGUAACUAACACCCUCUUUCUUAGUCUGGAUCGGCAAAAGUCGAAAAGCUGAAAUGCCGAAAACUGGUAUUUUGUAGAUUUGCGAGUGUGCGAAUGCUCGUGAGGUAAAUCGAUUAAUGUUUUUGGUAAGCUGCAAAAUUUGGACUGCAAAGUGCAUGAUUUCUGUGCCCUCGAUAUUUUUGGGCUUAGUGGGCCAAAAAUUGGAAUGAUAGGCCAACAGGCCCAAUUCGGGAAGAACCCUCGGUACGUGAUUCUGUUAGUACGUGAAAAGUAGGAAUAUGCAUGAAAAACCCUAAAAUAGAUAAAUUACUGAAAUACCUUUAAAAGUGGAAAUUUUACAGUUUUACCCCUAUUAGAUAAAUUACUGAAAUACCCCUAGGGUUAAAUUGACCUAAAUGCAUGUUUGACUGUUGUUAAUUACUGCAUGCCAUGUUGUUAUUAUCUGAUGCAUGGGAUUGGGAACAUCUAGCUUUCCAGUAGAUUCUGUAUGAUAUGAGAACGUCUGUGAGUAGCCAACAUCUGUAUCAGUAGCUGAGUCAAUCGAAAGAAGGGCUUCUGAAUUAGCUGAGGAAACCGCCCAGCAAUUCCUCUACAUCAAGAGCGGGCUCUGCCGUAAGGAAUUUGAUGUCAACACUUAACUUAGAUAGAGAUCUUGCUGUAAACACAAGAAGUACACGAAAAAUUUUGAGUUGGGGUACCAAAAAGAGGGGUUUGAUAAAAAUUUCACUCAGAUCGGAGUGCAAUAAUUACUGUCCUGCAGCUCAAGUGGUAGAUAUGCCCAAAGCGAAGAGGUCGGAGGGAAUACACCCCGGAAAGUCCUCCCUUUGAUAAGAGUCAGUUUUGCUACUCGUACUAGAAUUCUAUUCUUGACUGGAUCGUGAGCAUAUAUGAAAUCAAUCGAAAGCAUUGGUACCACCCCCUUGGUUGGAAUGACUCUGUCUCACUGGCAGGCACGCAAACUCCCAUCGUGUCCCAGAUCACAUUCCGUGAAUCGAAAGGGGAAGCCUACUCAUCCAUCAGCUCCUCUCGUAGACCGGUGCGGUUUUACGAAGCGUCUAAGCACAGUUCACUCGCGUUGAUCAAUCAAGAGCUUUGCCGCCACUCCUUAAGGUUACCUGCUGUAUCAAACACUUCUUGCAUUGUUUCCCACGCUUCAUACCCCCUCUUUCUUCUUAAGGUAAGGUAAAGGGCCGGGCAUGGUGGGGUAGGAGCACCCUGUCGGAAAGAUUUUUGGCUUGACCAAGAAGUUGACCAGGCCUUGUAGAAGCGAAGAUCGAUGUCCGUCCCAGUCUCAUUCAACCAGGACCGUGGACCUACUCCUUUCAUGCCUCACCCAAAAUACAUCCACUCUGUAAGGGGAUUCUAAGAGAACUCUUGUCUAGGAGUCAAAAAGAGGUGGAACUUAUAUUCUAUAUAUAAGCUAUUUCGCGCUGAGCGAGGCUGCUUUCCCUCCUAACUAACGAGUAAGAAGUCAAACCAGAUAUUAAUUGAAGGUCGCAGAUCAGCUGUUAGGAAGGGAAGGUUGAGAAAUCGCAUAUCAGCUGUUGUCUAGAUAGAUAGAAUAAUAUCUUUCAUGUCGCAUAUCCGCUUUUCUUUAAUGGAUGGAAAGAGGGGCGGAGUUACUGGAGGAUGCGAUGGAGGGGAAGGAAUGAGAAUAACCGAAUUCGGCUACCUCUCCCACUCAUCAAGGCAGACAUAAGAAGCUAAACUAUUUCCAAGGGAGACCGGGUCCGCUAUGCCCCUUCACCUACUAAAGGAUCCGUACUGGAGGCUUUGCCUCAAUUUACUGUUAACUGAGCAGCAAUGCUACAACUGUGGAGUGUUGGGCUGGGUGGGUUGAGCUAUUCCCCACAUGGAGUGUAGGGCUGGUACGGGUGGAGUGUAGUGGUUGGUGGGUUGAGUAGUCUCCCCAAAUGGGCUUGAAUAUGUUAUUGAUGUUGCAUGUAUUUUGAAAUGGGCCUAUAGGCC
rnacentral:lncRNA from 1 species